rnacentral:rRNA from 1 species
UUAACCGAAUAGGGGAGCCGGAGGGAAACCGAGUCUUAACCGGGCGUUAAGUUGCAGGGUAUAGACCCGAAACCCGGUGAUCUAGCCAUGGGCAGGUUGAAGGUUGGGUAACACUAACUGGAGGACCGAACCGACUAAUGUUGAAAAAUUAGCGGAUGACCUGUGGCUGGGGGUGAAAGGCCAAUCAAACCGGGAGAUAGCUGGUUCUCCCCGAAAGCUAUUUAGGUAGCGCCUCGUGAAUUCAUCUCCGGGGGUAGAGCACUGUUUCGGCUAGGGGGCCAUCCCGGCUUACCAACCCGAUGCAAACUGCGAAUACCGGAGAAUGUUAUCACGGGAGACACACGGCGGGUGCUAACGUCCGUCGUGAAGAGGGAAACAACCCAGACCGCCAGCUAAGGUCCCAAAGUCAUGGUUAAGUGGGAAACGAUGUGGGAAGGCCCAGACAGCCAGGAUGUUGGCUUAGAAGCAGCCAUCAUUUAAAGAAAGCGUAAUAGCUCACUGGUCGAGUCGGCCUGCGCGGAAGAUGUAACGGGGCUAAACCAUGCACCGAAGCUGCGGCAGCGACGCUUAUGCGUUGUUGGGUAGGGGAGCGUUCUGUAAGCCUGUGAAGGUGUGUCGUGAGGC